AGAGCGAACGCUGGCGGCAGGCCUAACACAUGCAAGUCGAGCGCCCGUAGCAAUACGGGAGCGGCAGACGGGAUAGUAACACGUGGGAACGCGCCCUUCGGUUCGGAAUAACUCAGGGAAACUUGAGCUAAUACCGGAUACGCCCUUACGGGGAAAGAUUUAUUGCCGAAGGAACGGCCCGCGUCCGAUUAGCUAGUUGGUGAGGUAAUGGCUCACCAAGGCGACGAUCGGUAGCUGGUCUGAGAGGAUGACCAGCAUCACUGGGACUGAGACACGGCCCAGACUCCUACGGGAGGCAGCAGUGGGGAAUAUUGGACAAUGGGCGCAAGCCUGAUCCAGCCAUGCCGCGUGGAUGAUGAGGCCUUAGGGUUGUAAAGUCCGUUUUAAGGGGAAGAGUAAUGACGGUACCCGUAGAACUAAGCCCGGCUAACUUCGUGCCAGCAGCCG
rnacentral:rRNA from 1 species